UCUUCGAUGGUCUAGUGGUCAUGAUUUCCGCUUGUCAAGAUGGAUUUCUUGCAAGCGCGGGAGACCGGGGUUCGAUUCCCCGUCGGAGAG